AUCCAGAUGAUGAGUCCCAAACAGGAUGAAAAGCGCGUAUUGGAU
rnacentral:hammerhead_ribozyme from 1 species